rnacentral:tRNA from 1 species
AGUUAAUGAACUUGUAUAAGUAUAUAUUUUGAAAAUAUAAAAAAGAGGCCAUAACCUUCUAUUGACUU